rnacentral:rRNA from 1 species
AGCAGCCGCGGUAAUUCCAGCUCCAAUAGCGUAUAUUAAAGUUGCUGCAGUUAAAAAGCUCGUAGUUGAAUUUCGGGACUAAUAUGUCGGUCGUGCCUCGGUACGUACUGGCUUAUUGGUUUCUCCUUUCUGAAGAACCAUGAUGUCAUUUAUUUGGUGUCGUGGGGAAUCAGGACUGUUACUUUGAAAAAAUUAGAGUGUUUAAAGCAGGCUCACGCUUGAAUACAUUAGCAUGGAAUAAUGAAAUAGGACGUUUGAUUCUAUUUUGUUGGUUUCUAGGAUCGACGUAAUGAUUAAUAGGGAUAGUUGGGGGCAUUAGUAUUCAAUUGUCAGAGGUGAAAUUCUUGGAUUUAUUGAAGACUAACUACUGCGAAAGCAUUUGCCAAGGAUGUUUUCAUUAAUCAAGAACGAAAGUUAGGGGAUCGAAGACGAUCAGAUACCGUCGUAGUCUUAACCAUAAACUAUGCCGACUAGGGAUCGGAUGAUGUAAUUUUUAAUGAC